AGUCUCAUCGAAGGGUGCGUUUUUCGAGACGCCCCUCUUCGGACUUGGACGGUCUUGCCCCUUGCGAAAGGGGCUCGUCUUCAAAUCUAUUGGCGAGGUGUUGGAUCUCUCGGGUCUCAGACGUGAUAAGCCUUGCGUCGACGUCCCGGAAGCCAUUUAAACCCUCGCGCUUUUCGAAACUUUUUUCUACG
rnacentral:misc_RNA from 1 species